AAGCAGAAUUAAAAAUGAAAGCAAAAAACAAAAGAAAAUUAAUAAUGCAAAAAAACAAAUCAAAAAAACGUGGAAAAACUAUUUUUAUAGUAAAGUUAAUCACAAAAUAAAAUAAAUAAAGAAACAAAGAAAACGAAAAAACUAAAAAAGUGUCUUCAAAUUUGAAAACUAAUGGCACUAACAGAAAGUUUAUAAUUUUUCUAAAACUAACGGUACUAACAGAAAGCUUAUAAUUUUGGUAACCUAAUAGCAAGCAGAAUUAAAAAUUAAAGCUAAAAAAAAGAAAAUAAAUAUUGCAAAAAAACAAAUCAAAAAAACAUGGAAAAACUAUUUUUAUAGUAAAGUUAAUCACAAAAUAAAAUAAAGAAAGCAACAAAGAAAACAAAAAACUAAAAAAGUGUUUUCAAAUUUGAAAACUAAUGGGACUAACAUAAAGCUUAUAAUUUUGCUAACCUAAUAGCAAGCAGAAUUAAAAAUUAAAGCAAAAAACAAAAGAAAAUAAAUAAUGCAAAAAACAAAUCAAAAACACAUGGAAAAACUAUUUUUAUAGUAAAGU
rnacentral:lncRNA from 1 species